rnacentral:rRNA from 1 species
GGCGGACGGGUGAGUAAUGUCUGGGAAACUGCCUGAUGGAGGGGGAUAACUACUGGAAACGGUAGCUAAUACCGCAUAACGUCGCAAGACCAAAGAGGGGGGACCCUCGGGCCUCUUGCCAUCGGAUGUGCCCAGAUGGGAUUAGCUUGUUGGUGGGGUAACGGCUCACCAAGGCGACGAUCCCUAGCUGGUCUGAGAGGAUGACCAGCCACACUGGUACUGAGACACGGUCCAGACUCCUACGGGAGGCAGCAUG